AGCGAACGCUGGCGGCAGGCUUAACACAUGCAAGUCGAACGGUCCUUCGGGAUAGUGGCGGACGGGUGAGUAACACGUGGGAACGUACCCUUAGGUUCGGAACAACACAGGGAAACUUGUGCUAAUACCGGAUAAGCCCUUCGGGGGAAAGAUUUAUCGCCUUUGGAGCGGCCCGCGUAGGAUUAGCUUGUUGGUGAGGUAAUGGCUCACCAAGGCUACGAUCAGUAGCUGGGCUGGGAGGGAGGGCAGCCACACCUGGGACUGAGCACCGGCCAGGACUCCUCCGGGGGCAGCCGUGGGGAAACUUGGCCAAAUGGGCAAAGGCCUGACGAGCCCAUCCGCCGGGAUUGAGGAGGUCCUAGGAUUGUAAAAUCCUUUCACCGGGGACGAUAAUGACGGUACCCGGAGAAGAAGCCCCGGCUAACUUCGUGCCAGCCGCCGCAGUAA
rnacentral:rRNA from 1 species